rnacentral:rRNA from 1 species
GAUGAACGCUAGCGAUAGGCUUAACACAUGCAAGUCGAGGGGCAUCACGAAUUAGCAAUAGUUUGGUGGCGACCGGUGCACGGGUGCGUAACACGUAUACAACCUACCUUCAAUUGGGGAAUAACCUGGAGAAAUCUGGACUAAUACCCCAUAGUAAACGGGAGAGGCAUCUUUUUUGUUUUAAAGAUUUAUUGAUUGGAGAUGGGUAUGCGUAGGAUUAGCUAGUUGGUAAGGUAACGGCUUACCAAGGCAACGAUCCUUAGGGGUUCUGAGAGGAAGGUCCCCCACACUGGUACUGAGACACGGACCAGACUCCUACGGGAGGCAGCAGUGAGGAAUAUUGGUCAAUGGUCGAGAGACUGAACCAGCCAAGUCGCGUGAAGGAAGACGGCUCUAUGAGUUGUAAACUUCUUUUGUACAGGAGUAAAGUGAGACACGCGUGUUUUAUUGCAAGUACUGUACGAAUAAGCAU